rnacentral:piRNA from 1 species
UGCUAAACCAUUCACCAAGGAUCCGUCCCC